CAGUAGCCGCGGUAAUACGUAGGUGGCAAGCGUUGUCCGGAAUUAUUGGGCGUAAAGCGCGCGCAGGUGGUUUCUUAAGUCUGAUGUGAAAGCCCCCGGCUCAACCGGGGAGGGUCAUUGGAAACUGGGAAACUUGAGUGCAGAAGAGGAGAGUGGAAUUCCACGUGUAGCGGUGAAAUGCGUAGAGAUGUGGAGGAACACCAGUGGCGAAGGCGACUCUCUGGUCUGUAACUGACGCUGAGGAGCGAAAGCGUGGGGAGCGAACAGGAUUAGAUACCCCCGUAGUCCCUGUCUCUUAUAC
rnacentral:rRNA from 1 species